CAGAGGGUGCGAGCGUUGUUCGGAAUUACUGGGCGUAAAGCGCGCGCAGGCGGCCCUUUAAGUCUGUCGGUCAAAUGCCGGGGCUCAACCCCGGGCGUGCCGAGGAUACUGGAGGGCUGGAGACACGUAGAGGCAAGCGGAGUUCCGGGUGUAGCGGUGGAAUGCGUAGAGAUCCGGAAGAACACCGGAGGCGAAGGCGGCUUGCUGGGCGUGAUCUGACGCUGAGGCGCGAAAGCGUGGGGAGCGAACAGGAUUAGAUACCCUGGUAGUCCACGCCGUAAACGAUGGGCACUAGACGCUGGUGGGAUCGACCCCUUCGGUGCCGCAGCUAACGCGAUAAGUGCCCCGCCUGGGGAGUACGGCCGCAAGGCUG
rnacentral:rRNA from 1 species